UACGGGGGGGGCAAGCGUUGUUCGGAACUACUGGGCGUAAAGGGCUCGUAGGCGGCCAACUAAGUCAGACGUGAAAUCCCUCGGCUUAACCGGGGAACUGCGUCUGAUACUGGAUGGCUUGAAUCCGGGAGAGGGAUGUGGAAUUCCAGGUGUAGCGGUGAAAUGCGUAGAUAUCUGGAGGAACACCGGUGGCGAAGGCGGCAUCCUGGACCGGUAUUGACGCUGAGGAGCGAAAGCCAGGGGAGCAAACGGG
rnacentral:rRNA from 1 species